rnacentral:rRNA from 1 species
AGGCAUGCUGGAGGUAUCAGAAGUGCGAAUGCUGACAUAAGUAACGAUAAAGCGGGUGAAAAGCCCGCUCGCCGGAAGACCAAGGGUUCCUGUCCAACGUUAAUCGGGGCAGGGUGAGUCGACCCCUAAGGCGAGGCCGAAAGGCGUAGUCGAUGGGAAACGGGUUAAUAUUCCCGUACUUGGUGUUACUGCGAAGGGGGGACGGAGAAGGCUAUGUUGGCCGGGCGACGGUUGUCCCGGUUUAAGCGUGUAGGUGUGUGUUCCAGGUAAAUCCGGUUCACUUUAACACUGAGGCGUGAUGACGAGGCACUACGGUGCUGAAGCAACAAAUGCCCUGCUUCCAGGAAAAGCCUCUAAGCAUCAGGUAACAUCAAAUCGUACCCCAAACCGACACAGGUGGUCAGGUAGAGAAUACCAAGGCGCUUGAGAGAACUCGGGUGAAGGAACUAGGCAAAAUGGUGCCGUAACU